rnacentral:lncRNA from 1 species
AUCCUGUCCAGCAAAGAAGCAAUCAGCCAAAAUGAUACCUGGAGGCUUAUCUGAGGCCAAACCCGCCACUCCAGAAAUCCAGGAGAUUGUUGAUAAGGUUAAACCACAGCUUGAAGAAAAAACAAAUGAGACUUACGGAAAAUUGGAAGCUGUGCAGUAUAAAACUCAAGUUGUUGCUGGAACAAAUUACUACAUUAAGGUUAGAGUUCAGCACCUACUUUAGCGCCAAAAGAUGUAUUUCUCAUUUUAUGUAAAAUAUUCCCUGAUUUCCCUACCACAUAAUUCCUUCCUUACGGUUGUCCUAAAUUAAGAUGCCCAGCAUGAUUCCUUCCAAGUGGUGGACUCUCAAAUUUGGUAGAUGAUGUGACACCAUUUUUUUUCUUGUGAAUUCAGAAAGUUUUAUUACAUUGAUUCUUGAUUUCUGGAAAUUGUAUAGAAAAAGAUUUCAUAACAGUUCAGGGCAUGCUGGAUUUGUGGCUGUGCUGCUGCUUAGGUAAGGAGGGAGGAUCACGUCUCAUCUGCCUGAAGGUGUGGGGCUGGACCACAUGGUAUCUUGAAGCUGAUUCUACCUCAAAGCUGUAUGAUUCUCUAUGUCUAAAUUAAAUAAAUUAAAGUAACGACUCAAAUCAUUAGCUGGGAAAAUAAUUUAAACCUUUUUUGCCCUUCAAUUAAUAUAAUGUAAAUACUAUUUUGUAACUCAAAUUAGAUUUAACUUGUGGCACUCUAGGCAUAGUUUAAAAGAGUGGAGUAUUUAAAAUAGUUUAAAAGUUAAUUUUAUAGCUCUGUCAAAAAAUUACACAAUGCAUUGAUCGAGUUCUAAU